rnacentral:rRNA from 1 species
AAUCAACGCUGGCGGCGUGCCUAACACAUGCAAGUCGAACGAGAAAGUGGAGCAAUCCAUGAGUACAGUGGCGACCGGGUGAGUAACACGUGAUUAACCUACCUUCGAGUGGGGGAUAACGCCGGGAAACCGGCGCUAAUACCGCAUAACAUCGCGAGGUGAAAUUCCUUGUGAUCAAAGGAGCAAUUCGCUUGAAGAGGGAGUCGCGUCUGAUUAGCUAGUUGGUGAGGUAACGGCCCACCAAGGCGAUGAUCAGUAGCCGGCCUGAGAGGGCGAACGGCCACACUGGAACUGAAACACGGGCCAGACACCUACGGGAGGCAGCAGUGGGGAAUUUUGCGCAAUGGGGGAAACCCUGACGCAGCAACGCCGCGUGGAGGAUGAAGUCCUUUGGGAUGUAAACUCCUUUCGACCGGGAAGAUAAUGACGGUACCGGAGGAAGAAGCACCGGCUAACUCUGUGCCAGCAGCCGCCGUAACAC